rnacentral:rRNA from 1 species
CGUGCUGAACAUCAUGCCUGUCGUGGCUUGGUUCCCUUCAUCAGGUGCCUUGCUUUGGCCGGCGCGUUUACUUUGAAAAAAUUAGAGUGCUCAACGCAGGCGAUUCGCCUGAAUAACAGUGCAUGGAAUAAUAGAACAAGAUCCUGUUUCUGUUCUGUUGGUUUUUGGAAUACAGGAUAAUGAUUAAGAGGGACAGACGGGGGCAUUCGUAUUGCGGCGCUAGAGGUGAAAUUCUUGGACCGUCGCAAGACGAACUACUGCGAAAGCAUUUGCCAAGAAUGUUUUCAUUGAUCAAGAACGAAAGUUAGAGGUUCGAAGGCGAUCAGAUACCGCCCUAGUUCUAACCAUAAACGAUGCCAACCAGCGAUCCGCCUGAGUUACUCAAAUGACUCGGCGGGCAGCUUCCGGGAAACCAAAGUAUUUGGGUUCCGGGGGAAGUAUGGUUGCAAAGCUGAAACUUAAAGGAAUUGACGGAAGGGCACCACCAGGAGUGGAGCCUGCGGCUUAAUUUGACUCAACACGGGAAAACUUACCCGGCCCGGACACUGGGAGGAUUGACAGAUUGAGAGCUCUUUCUUGAUUCGGUGGAUGGUGGUGCAUGGCCGUUCUUAGUUGGUGGAGCGAUUUGUCUGGUUAAUUCCGAUAACGAACGAGACUCUAGCCUAUUAAAUAGGUGCGUGGUUCUCUGCACCUUGCACCCUUCUUAGAGGGACAAGCGGCUCCUAGCCGCACGAAACAGAGCAAUAACAGGUCUGUGAUGCCCUUAGAUGUCCGGGGCCGCACGCGCGCUACACUGAAGGAAGCAGCGUGUUUUUAUCCCUGUCUGUAAAGACUGGGUAACCCGUGGAACCUCCUUCGUGAUUGGGAUAGGGGCUUGCAAUUGUUCCCCUUGAACGAGGAAUUCCCAGUAAGCGCGAGUCAUAAGCUCGCGUUGAUUACGUCCCUGCCCUUUGUACACACCGCCCGUCGCUACUACCGAUUGAAUGAUUUAGUGAGGUCUUCGGACCGAUACCCGGAGCGGCCUUUCGGUUGCGCCGGUGUGUUGGAAAGAU